AUUGAACGCUGGCGGCAGGCCUAACACAUGCAAGUCGAGCGGAUGAAGGGAGCUUGCUCCUGGAUUCAGCGGCGGACGGGUGAGUAAUGCCUAGGAAUCUGCCUGGUAGUGGGGGAUAACGUCCGGAAACGGGCGCUAAUACCGCAUACGUCCUGAGGGAGAAAGUGGGGGAUCUUCGGACCUCACGCUAUCAGAUGAGCCUAGGUCGGAUUAGCUAGUUGGUGGGGUAAAGGCCUACCAAGGCGACGAUCCGUAACUGGUCUGAGAGGAUGAUCAGUCACAACGGAACUGGGAAACGGGCCCAAACCCUAAGGGAGGCAAGAGUGGGGAAUUUUGGGAAAAGGGCGAAAGCCUGAUCCAGCCAUGCCGCGUGUGUGAAGAAGGUCUUCGGAUUGUAAAGCACUUUAAGUUGGGAGGAAGGGCAGUAAGUUAAUACCUUGCUGUUUUGACGUUACCAACAGAAUAAGCACCGGCGAACUUCGU
rnacentral:rRNA from 1 species